UUUACUGUACCUGCUCAGACACACCUGAUUGUAAUCGAUCGAUUGGUUAAUUGGCAGGUUUAGUGGGUGUGUUUGAGUAGGAGACCCGACCCUCCAGGACCCCUGGUUUAGGGGGUUCUAACUCAUGAGGUGUGAAAAAUAAAUCAUCGUGGAUCGUAAAAGAGCUCCUUUAACGGACACAUCAGGCCGUGUGUCACAAAGGUGUGUGGUUUUCAGAGGUAUGGGCCCUUUAAUCCUCUGCUUCUGUCAGAGGACUGAAACUGACUGACAGCACCGGGAUGUGCUGACGUCACAGCCAGCCGGGGGGACGGACGGCACCCCUCAGCAGCCCGUUAUUCGGCGGGCCCGGUCCGGUGUGCUUCAGAGAGAGGGUCUCCAUGAAUAAGCAGAAAAAGAAGAGGAGGAAGCGGGGCUAAGCCGCCGCCCUGACCGCACACAGCGCCGCGCAGGGCCGCUGGAAGGACAUGAGUUAACGCUGCUUGUUGUCAUCGCUGCCGGGAUGCGAACUCGGUUUACCGGACUGCCACUGCGGGGAACCCGGGGAUAAAACUGCUGAAGGAGGAGGAGGAGGAGGAGGAGGAGGAGAGGGGGGCGAUGGCUGCUGGAGGAGGAUGCGGGGAGACGGUGGAGCACUACCGGGCCGAGGUGGAGCGACUGAGCCGGGAGCUGUCGGAGGCGAAUCGGGAGAAGGUCCGGGCGGCGGAGUGCGGGCUGGUGGUGCUGGAGGAGAACCAGACUCUGAAGCAGCAGUACUCCGAGCUGGAGGCCGAGCAGGAGACCAUGAGGCAGGAGCUGGAGCAGCUGCAGGAGGCCUUCAGCCAGGCGUACUGCAUCCAGAGAAAGGUAGUGGAGGAUAGCGAGACCAACGAGGAGGUGCUGCUGCAGGAGUCGGCCACUAAGGAGGCGUAUUAUAUGGGUCGCCUGCUGGAGCAGCAGGCCGAGCUCAAAAACAGCCGCUCGCAGGCCUCCAACACGCAGGUGGAGAACGACCGCCUCGAAACCAUCCUGCAGGAACUCAGAGAGAGUAAUGAGAUGCUGGAGCUCCAGACGAGCAGGAUGAGAGAGGAGGUGAGGGAGUAUAAGUUCAGGGAGGCGCGGCUGCUGCAGGACUACACUGAGCUGGAGGAGGAGAACAUCUCGCUGCAGAAACUGGUGUCCACACUCAGACAGAAUCAGGUGGAGUACGAAGGCCUGAAACACGAGAUCAAGGUGCUGGAGGAGGAGACGGCUUUGCUGAACAGCCAGUUGGAGGACGCGCUGCGCCUGAAGGACAUCUCGGAGAGCCAGCUGGAGGAGGCUCUGGACGCUCUGAAGAGCGAGCGUGAGCUGAAGAACAGCCUCCGUAAAGAGCUGGCCCAGCACCUCACCGUGUGCGAUGGAGCCUUUGCUUCGGCCAGUGCCCACCUGCUGGCCCUCAGCUCGGCGCCCCCCAGUGGCAGUGCCACCCCCACCGCUGCCAGCUCUCCGGGCAGCGAGGACGGUGGCAAAUGCAACGGGCUUCUGCUGCAGGGCGCAGCCGGCGCGGCACUGACCCGACUCAACGGGGAGUUCAGGGCGGCGGGGCCGAGGAAGAGCGACUCGACGACCCCUGAUCUCUUCAGCGAGAUGAACCUCACCGAGAUCCAGAAACUCAAGCAGCAGCUUCAGCAGGUGGAGCAGGAGAAGGCGUCUGCGCAGACCAGCCUGCAGGAGUGCCAGACGCAGCUGCGGCAUGCGCAGAGCGCCCUGACAGAACAGCACGAGAGAGCGUGGCGGCUCCAAGAGCGCGUCCGCAUCCUCCGGCAGCAGGGCGGCACCUCAGAGGCCAGCAGCGAGGAGGAGGAGCCGGAGAUGAAGAGCCCUUUGUGGGCGUCCAACAGUCUGCAAGGAUUGGGUGUAGAGCUGCUGCAGUGCAAGUACAGGCUGGCGGUGACGGAGGUGGUUGGCUUGAAAGCGGAGCUGAAGGAGCUGCAGGAGAGGCACAAGGAGUGCAUGGAGGGGACGACACGGGUGGAGGAGCGAGUUCAGGGCCAGCUGCGGGCUCUGGAGGCCCAGGUGGCUCGUCUGGAGCGCACCUGCAGGGAGGCGAGGGAUAAGGCGGUGGGACUGGAGCGAGAGCUGCAGGCGGCGAACAGCGCUGUUUCAGAGAACCACAGCGUGUUGGCCACGGCCCAGGAAGAGCUGGCCACCUUCAGCGAGGAGCUGGCGCAGCUCUACCAUCACGUCUGCUUGUGCAACAACGAGACGCCCAACCGCGUCAUGCUGGACUACUACCGGCAGGGCCGCAGUCCGCUUCGUGCUCCCCCCGCUGGCCUGAAGGCACAGGAAGACCACCGGGUCCUGCUGACGCCGCGGCUGGCGCGCCGCCUGGCCGCCAUCAACGCCGCCACAUCAGCCUCCACGCCGAGCGACUCUCGAAGCCCCUCGGAGUCGCCUUCCAAAGAGCCCCUCAAUGCGGAGGACAGCCCGGUCCGCACGCCACUGGGCUCCCCUGCCAUCAGUGCCUCGUCGUCGUCCUCUUCCUCGUCUCCUGCGCCCGAGUCGUCGACGGGCUCCGAGCCCCGGCGGGAGCCCUCCAACAUCCACCACCUCAACGCCAUCAUCCGGGACCAGAUCAAGCACCUGCAGAAGGCUGUGGACCGCUCACUGCAGCUUUCUCGCCAGAGGGCAGCCGCCCAGGAGCUGGCACCCAUGCUCGACAAGGACAAAGAGACCUGCAUGGAGGAGAUCCUCAAGCUCAAAUCCCUGCUGAGCACCAAGAGGGAGCAGAUCGCCACCUUGCGCCUCGUCCUCAAAGCCAACAAGCAGACUGCAGAAGUGGCCCUGGCCAACCUGAAGAGCAAGUAUGAGAUGGAGAAGAGCAUGGUGACCGAGACCAUGAUGAAGCUGCGCAACGAGCUGAAGGCUCUGAAAGAGGACGCUGCCACCUUCUCCUCUCUCAGAGCCAUGUUCGCCACACGGUGUGACGAGUACGUCACUCAGCUGGACGAGAUGCAGAGGCAGCUGGCGGCGGCUGAGGACGAGAAGAAGACCCUGAACUCGCUGCUGCGCAUGGCCAUCCAGCAGAAACUGGCCCUGACCCAGCGCCUGGAGGACCUGGAGUUUGACCACGAGCAGUCGCACCGCCCUCGCAGUGGCAAGACGUCCAGACUGAGGACCGCCACUCCCAAAUGUUUUUCAGAUCGUCAGCAGCCUCCUGCCUCAGUGUCGCCAGCCUCCUCACAGCUGAGAUUCAGCUGAUCCUCCACACAGCAGGGAAUGUGAACAUUUCCAGAGUGUGGCUAACGACUCCGGCAGAUCCGACUACGACAGCUUAAAUUCAUAAAACAGGGCGGUGACAGCGCGACGCCGCACAGUGCAGCACAGGAAACAAGAUUAAUGCAGUGGUGUUUCACCUGUCCUGAGCAAGAACCAAUCAAAAUCAACAUGUAAAUGAGGUCAUACAUAUUAACGACCCACCAAGUGACGCUACCACAAAAACAAACAACAAAGAAAACAGAAAUUCUGAGAAACACAGCUGCGGUUUCCAGUUUGCAGGUGUCCUGUGGAGGCAGCUCUGCAGAAGGCACUGAGACACUGUUCCAGAUGCAGCUGUUCCCGUGGCCUACACAAUCUGCCCCAGCCCUCCUGCCUCUAAUCUACGAGCGCCAACCCACCCUCACUCUUAAUCCAGUCUCUGAGCCUUGUACAGCAGACCAAAUACAGAUCCAGACUCGAGUCACGGUCACAAAUGCCUUCAAAUGCGAGAGAACUGUUUCAGAACAGUAGCUGCCCUUCUCACCUGUUUCUCGGCAAAGCGAGCUUUACAGAUCCACACAUCGCCUCACCGCAGUGAUCUACCUCUCUUUGAAACACGCUUCAUCGCUCUGUCCGUCUCCCAUCUCACUGAAUAUGUUGCAUGGUGCCUGUUAAAGUGUGCGCACUCUAUAUGCCUUCGCACUAACCGUGAUGGUUUAUUUACGCUCGUCGUCUCUCGCCCUGUUUCUCCACAGUGUUCACAGCUCUGUUUUUCACCUCUGCCUUUUAAACCUGUAAGCACAACCAGAUAACGAAGCAUUCCAGCACUGGCGCCGACCACAACUGUCAAUCUCAACCCGUUAAAAAGUGCUGCAGAAGAACGAAAGGUAAAAAUGAUUGGCCCCUUCUGAUGCAUCACACUGAGUGCUUUCAGACCCUCAUACAAAAUGUAAAUGUAUGACAAGGAGAACAUGAGUAAACACAAAAACACGGUUUUUUAAAAAAUCCCUUCAUUUAUCGAAGGAAAAAAGUUUUUGGGAAAAGUAAUUGCCUUAAAAAAUAAAGUGCUUAAAAGGCACAAGGUGCAGAAGCAGAGAUAAAGCAGGUAAUUAAAAAGAAAUAUCAAGUCAUGAAGCCAAAAAAAUCAAAGGAAAUUAGGUGAUUCUGGAGAAAGAUUGUUGAUAUUUGAACUCAAAAGUGAAGCAAACACACCCCUCACUUCAGUGCUCCUUCAGAAGCUCCGCACCCCAAUUUCGGGGUUGUGCGCUGCCGAGGCAAACUUGUUGUUCAUAAACUCUCGAGGUAGCUUCUCUUUUUGCCAGUUUCUUGCUUUCCCAUUCCACCUUAAAUGGUGUGGCUGGUAAAUAGUUGUUUGCUGCUAUAUUAAUGUUUAAAAUGUUGUAUGUAGAACCUUUAAAGACAGUGGGUGAAGAUAUUUAGGCACAUCUAAGAUCUUCUUAGAGUCCAGCUGACCUGUAUCCGUGGAUCUAAGAGACCCGCUUGCUUUAUAUUCUUUAAACAUGGAGUUAUAUUCUGGGCUGCAGCCAGAACUGGAGAUCAGUCGCUCACAUCGCUGUGGAGGAAUUCUGGCCCACUCCUCGUUGCAGAAUUGCUUUAGUUCAGUCACAGAGCAGGGCUUUCAACAAUUUAAGGUCCUGCCACAGCAUCUAAGUCAGGACUUUGACUAAGCCUCUCUAGCAGCCUUAACUGUGUUUCUUGCUCUAGUGCUUGGAGUCGUUGUCUUGCUGUUUGAGCUUCAGCCAUACAACAAACUGCCAAAGCCACCUUCCACAUCUGUCAGAGUAGGGAUGCAUCGAAACCGAUACUGGCAUCAGAUAUCGGCCUAACACUGCGCUCGUUUACUCGACCACAUAAAAAUGCCCCGAUUCCAGCUGGUACUGUGUGAUGUAAACAGAGUUGCAGUGAAGGAGCUUCAGAUCACCGAUGACCAGACGUUCUCCUGCAGGAUUAUCUGUUGGAGAACAGGAUUCAAUUUAAGUCACCCAGGACCUAAAGCAGCAGAGCAUCCCCUCACCAUCACACUACCACCACCAUGUUGAAUGCUGUGUUAGCUUAAUGCCAGAUGUAUCAGGGCUCCUGUCUUCCGAAAAGUUCCACCGUCAACUUCUCAGGUCACAGAACAUUCCAAAAGCCUUGAGAGGCGUAUAUGGAGACGAGAAUUCAUGCUCCUCUUAGUUAGCCAUGCUUUUUGGCUUGCAGCUCUCCCUGGGUAGCUGUUUCUGACCAUGGCGAGGAAGUCCUGCGGUUGCUUAGAGGGUUUUUGUGGGCUGCUUCUGGGAAGAUUCCCCACAGUUCUAAGUUUUCUGCUUCGGCUCUCACUGUGGUUCUCUGGAGUCUCAGAGCAUCAGGAACAGGUUUGUACCUCCAGACUGAUAUAUUUCAUUAACUUUCUCAUCCGUUUUGAAAUUUCCUGGUGCCAUGUGACCUUUCAGCCUUCUUCACAAGCUCUGUUUAUCCUGUUAACUGUCACCCCAGUUUUGCCUGAAACAGUACACCCAAAGUAAAAGGGGGCACUGGGACCCCAUACUUGUUUUUUUUUUGUUUUGGUUUUUUACCCGAUUUUCUCCCAAGUUAGUCGUCUCCAAUUCCACCCGCUGGUUAGGACUCCCCCAAUCACACAAUACUACAAUGCUAGGAGGGUGAUGGCAGCACAGGCUUUCUCAGAGACCUGUGAAACCAGCCACCGCUUCUUUUCGAGCUGCCGUCACGGGACAGCCGGACGCACUCGGAGGAAAGCGCCAACCGCCAGAUCUGUUAUGUCGGCUAACAGCUGCCUGCACUGACGAGUAUCAUGCUGAGUGAUGGGGGGAGAAGGGGGGCCAUCCUACCCACCCAGAGAGAGCGAGGCCAACUGUGCUCUCUUGGGCUACAGAUGGCUGCAGCAUCACCAGGGAUCGAAAUCACGAUCUCCUGAUGAUAGGGCCAACGCUUAGAUGGUUGCUCCACUCUGGACCCCCUUGGUCCCACAUACUUUGGGCUGCAGUCAUGAUCUUGGUCCCAUUUGAAAGGAAACAUUCACAAUGGUCAGAAUAACUGUCUGAAUUACUGACUCAAAGUAACAGAGUCUAGAAAGGAGGAGUUUAUUACCUCCUGACUCUGAUCUCUAAACUGAUCUCUGACUCUUGCCGCGUUAUCAGACCGGAUUGUGUUAUGUUCUGGAUUGUGGUGUCUCUGUGGAGGCGGCGAGGCUCUGAAGGUCAGAACACACAGAUUUGCUCAUAAUGGAUCAUAAAAUGGUUUGUGGGAAUCAAAUCCCGAGAUUUCAAGCCUUCUAACUGUGCAUUGCAUCAUAGAAUGGCUGGACGAUUUGAUGCGUAAAAAAUGAUGUCUAAAAAAUGGAAGUGAACGCUUUGAUGGAAAGGUGCUGGUACCAGUAAAGUGAAGUCUAGAUUCAGCAGGGCUGGCAGUAAUCAGGCCUGGGUGUGCCUAGUUUAAUUGAUCCCAAUGAUCAACUAAAUUUGGUUGAUUAACUGCUUUUCCACACAGUUUAGCUGAUCCUGAAGAACGUUUUCCUUCAGUAAAUGAAAGCAUCGUUUAAAAACUGAGCAGUUUACUCUGGUUGUCUUUGUCUUGCUUUGAAUUUCGUUUGAAAGCUGAAACAAUAAGGUGUGACCAGUAUGCAAAAAACAGAAAUCAGGAUUGGGUAAAAACUUCUUCACAGCACUUCACCUUACUCUGCUUCACCACAGAGGAGUGGAUGUAAAUAUAUGGACUCUCACGUCAUCAGAGAAGGAACAGUCCUAAAAAAGGCGUCUAUUUACAGAGAUCUGAUGUGAAGGAAAGAUCUAUGGACAGUGCAGUGGACGUUGGAAGGAAUUACUGAUUCUGGACCUAUUUCAGCGCCUUGCCUAUAACCGAUAACAGCCAUACGACAAACUGCCAAAGACACCUUCCACAUCUGACUGCAGGAACAUCAGUGCAGAGCAGGGAUGCAUCGAUACAGAUACUGGUAUUGGGUAUCGGCCCAAUAUCGUACUCGUUUACUCAUACACAUAAAAUGGCAUCGGUGCCAACAUCUAAUACCAGCUGAUACCAUGUGCUGUAAACUGAAUGUAGCUGCUGUGCUAAAGAACAAACGAAGGAGGAACAUUAAGGCCAUGACCCACCAGAGCACUGCUAUAGAAUGCCAGCGGCCCAAAAACACCAGGUUCAGGUUCAUUUUUACAUUCUAAAUGGAAUGAAAUGAAGUGUUGAGCAUCACUCAUCACACUUGGCAUCCAUUUACUAUGGACCGAUGCUUUCGGGCUGAAAAAUACAAACUGAAAGUGUCUUAUAAUUUUAGCUGAGGUAACUUACCAUUAGCAUCUGGCUGCCUUGCUCCAUGUAAAUGUCAACCCCAUGUGUUCCCAUGUGCUUUCUGUGCUCUCAAUAUAGCUUUAAUUUAAUGUAGUAAUGGCUCAGAGUCAAGGAGGGCUGGCAUAUGUCAACUUGGUGUGUUGGCGCCUCAGUUAAAAGCAAUGGUUUCGAAUUUUUGGACAUCUGGUGUGCUACAGCCUUUACUUACUUUGUGGCCGUCAGACACAAAACUGUCGAUCACUUUAAAUAUUCCGCCUUGGCAGAUUCCCUCCAGGAUACACGAACACAACCGCUUCACCGACACAGGUGGAGAAACACAGGCCAUGUAUACCGACUUUUCUCUGUUCGACUAAAUAAAAUGUUGAAGUAUAAACGUUAAUGUGGUGAUUUUUCUGUAAAUCAGGCUGUAGAGAGACCCAGCUGUCCUACCGUGAACAUCAGCACCUGAUGUUUAGCUUCAGUGCUCAGUGUUAGCAGCGCUGAUCAGUGUCUCAGCAUGUUUGCUCAGUACUCGGUUAUUCUGAGUGAAUCAGCCUUAUUGAUAACAGUCUGUAGACCGAGUGUCUGUAGAGGCUGUGUUUCCCGUAGCAGGUCAGUCAGACAGAGCAUUUCAUGCAGUUUGAGUUUAUAAGUCAUAGCUUUGUCUGAACAUGAUGGCCUAUUCAAACCUACAGUGAGUCACCAAAGAACAAGAUUUCUAAAACCACACAGUGUCUGUCUGGGUUUAGAGGACAUUCAGCUACAGCUCAACCAGCCAAUCAAAGGACUCCAACCAGACGGAAAACUGGAAGCGUGAGCCUCGGAUGUGACUCCUGCUGUCGAUGUGCUGCUGCUCAAACAGACAGAUCAAAACUAUGAAACCUACUUUACCUACAAUUGUACGGGAGAGCUUUUCUGAUUAAUGAUUUGGCCAUUGAGGUGCAUUGAACUCCUUUACAAUGACAGCUACAUCACUGGAAGAGCAUUAUCGGAUAUGAAAUCGAGUACUAAAAGACAUUAAAUUAACUUGAAGAACUGUACUUGUAAUCACGCUGAAAAAAAUGGUAUCGAUGCAUCCCUAGUGCGGCACUGACUCUAAUUCUCUAUAGAAAAAGUGUUUAUUUCUGUGGAAAAUCGUCUGUGUAUAACAGGUCUUUAACUGUCCUAUCAUGCUUCGUCGUCAUCGUACGGUAUUUUACAGCUUUCUUAGUGUCGCGUAGAACACAAACCACUCUGAAAACGGCAAACGUUGGUCUGCACUGGAGAAUGUGAAUCAUAUCGGUUAUUUGCACAAUCUGACACCGUCCCUACCUGAAGGUCUUCACCAUGGACAGCUGGACCGUCACUAUGAAGAAGAGCAAUACACACCAUUUAGUCCGACUGAUUCUAGAUCUGAUCUAGAAAGAGAGCCGACGGAAUGCCUUUCUGUUCAAAAUAAAUCAGUACAAUAAACAACUUUAAAUCGGGAA